GACGAACGCUGGCGGCGUGCUUAACACAUGCAAGUCGAACGGAAAGGCCCUGCUUUUGUGGGGUGCUCGAGUGGCGAACGGGUGAGUAACACGUGAGUAACCUUCCCUUGACUUUGGGAUAACUUCAGGAAACUGGGGCUAAUACCGGAUAGGAGCUCCUGCUGCAUGGGGGGGGUUGGAAAGUUUCGGCUGUUGGGGAUGGACUCGCGGCUUAUCAGCUUGUUGGUGGGGUAGUGGCUUACCAAGGCUUUGACGGGUAGCCGGCCUGAGAGGGUGACCGGCCACAUUGGGACUGAGAUACGGCCCAGACUCCUACGGGAGGCAGCAGUGGGGAAUAUUGCACAAUGGGCGGAAGCCUGAUGCAGCAACGCCGCGUGCGGGAUGACGGCCUUCGGGUUGUAAACCGCUUUCGCCUGUGACGAAGCGUGAGUGACGGUAAUGGGUAAAGAAGCACCGGCUAACUACGUG
rnacentral:rRNA from 1 species